UGAGACAAUGCAUAUCACGUGUCAUUCUUCAACAUUAAAUAAGUCUCUCAAAGGAGUGCAUGAAUGAGAAAUAUUUUCAUUUUCCUACUCUGUUCAUGUUUUCGCGUCUUUUCUGCCUCGCAAACUUUAAGCUCUAAAGCCAUCAAGACCUCAACUGCGGUUGACUUUACCUUUCUCUCCAUCAAUUUUUUUCCUCCAUUGUCAUCCGUGGCCCUUUUUAAGAAAACUAAUGGUGACUACAUAAGAAUAGAAAGUAAUCUAUACGUUUUCAAAUAAAUAGUUGGCACAAGUAAAGCACAUGUACCUGAAAAAUCCUUUUUAGUGCAGCAACAAAAUGAUUUAUACCAGUCAUUUCCUCCACUGACUGUUUGCAGAAUUUAAGUUCAAUAAUGGGGGUGUCAAACUCAUUUUUGUUGCAAGCAACAUUGUGGUAAUGGUUUCCUUCUUGUGACACAAAUGAUUUGCCUUCGCGGGCCACAUAAAAUCAUGUGGCCGGGCCAGAUCUGGCCCCCGGGCCUCGAGUUUGACACCCGUGUUCUCUAAGAACUGAAUCUCACAGUAGCUUAGCUCCCACACAGGUGAAACAUUACUUUGUUAACAGGUGAUGUAUUAAGUUCCCCUGCGGCCCAGGUGAGGGCCUUGGGAUGGGAACACGCACACCUUAUCGCACAGGUAGCCAUGAGUCAGAGCUCUCACAGAUGGGACGGAUUUGUUCAGGUGUUGCAGUUUCUCUGCUGGGCUUUUUCCUCCCCCCGCCUGCCUUUCCCUCCUUCUGUUGUAGCAGGUAAAAGCCAAAUGCCUCGGGGCCAUAAAAGGCACUUGUGGGCUGCUUUUACAAAUAGCGGCGUGGCGUGGGUAAUUAUGUUGCAAAGUGGCGUUAAUGGAGAGGAGCUGGCGCCGGAAGUGAAAAGCGACCAGACUGCAGCCCAGCAUUUGGUGUCAAGUUUAAAUUGGGGUGGACAAACUUUUCCUGUCAAAGGUCGAGUUUUCAGGAUUUUGAAGUGACCAGCGGCCAUGCUACUUGAUCGACCCCUGACCCCUUGUCAACAUUCGUGGCUUGUCUGGCUCGUUCGGUUUUCGUUUCCACCUGUUCUCGUCAGUGUCGUCUCUCCUGUUGACCAAUCGGCUUCUUGGAGGCACUCCCAUCUUGCUCAUUGUCUGUCACUUUCCUUCCCUGUUUUCAUUAUCAUCAGAUCUCAUCUUAUUGUUCUUUGUGGUGAGUUUUCUUUUCAAAGUGUUUCUUUGAAUUUUGAUCUUCGGACUAAUUUAGUGCUUGAUUCCAUGAUCCUGGUUUGCCUUUUGAACUUAAAUGGCCGUUAGAUACUCCUGCCUGACCACUCGGCUUCCCUACGAUCAGGUUCUCCCCACUUUUCAUCCACGCUGACAUCAUGAAAUCCCAAAUUAAGUUUAUGAAUCUCAAUGUUAUUUGUAUUUUUCUUUUCAACUUUUGAAAAGCUAUAUUAAAUUGUCGCGCUGUGAUGCAUCGCGGUGUCUUACCGAAUGUGUCAUUGGUGGGAAACAAGGAAGUGGACUUUUCGCUUCCUGUUUUGCCACCAAGUGUACAAAGUCAGUCAUACAAUGCAGGUCAAGCUGUAUGAUUUUUUUUUUUUUUUUUUUUGUAUAUGACACUGGACCCAAAUAAUCUGGCUGCAGUUUUGACAAGAUUUACUUAAAACAGAUAAAAAAGUCUGGUUUGGGGACUCCACAAAGGACAAAAAUCAGCCACCAACGGACUAUUAGGAUUGCCGAGAGGUUCAUCUGUCCUCGGCACGCUUGAGGACUUGCACACUGCGAAAAACUAAAUAAAAGGUCAGGUGUUGACGCCGUGGCUCUGGCUGACAUAUGUCUCACUGGGAGGACGGGGGCCAUAGGGAACAAGGCGAACACAAGCAAAUUGCUACACGCCAUUUCAAACCAGUGGACAGCCAAGGUCCAGAUGCCUGUUGACAACCCAGCUUGGCUUCUUAAUUCUGACGCUUCUGUACUAAAAACUGCAGGGAGAAAGCAUCCCUUUCAGAGCCAAUCUUCUCCUUUUGUGGAAUUUUUUGACAACAGCUGACCACACUCCCAAUUUCUCAGAAUGUCAGCUCAGUCACAAGACUCCCGGGGGCAAACAUCCUGGACACCCCCUGACACACACAUAAUCAAACACGCAGCCUCGGGCUACUGCUAAGUUGUCACAGUAGUUUCUUGUCCUUCAUGUGAUGCUGGGGGGGGGUUAAUGCCGUAAACUUGCAUCCACAAAAGGUCUUUUGUCACCUCAUUCUAUCCUCUCUCUCUUUACAAAGUGGUCUUUGCCCAUGUGAUCAGGGAGGGCUAACGCCCGUCCCUCCGCCCCCCACGUUCCCUAACACCCUCCUCCACCCCGACUGGAGCUGAGGAGCAGUCAAGCAGCACCGUACACACCAUUACCCCGCUGUUAAAUGACCACGAGUGUGCAGUGCAGACGGCUUGUCUGUUAGACAGUUACAGGAAUAAAUCUUGUUAAACCAGGCGAGAAGAGACUGCAUGUAUACUGUAUGAUAGACUGCAAUAGAAAUUGUGCUGUAAAAUCCCCCCCGGCCACCCCCGCCCCUUUCAAACCAACACCUUCUCAUUGCUCAAUUUCUUUGGUUGACUGUGAUAUACAACAAUCAGAUGAAAUCUCAAGAUGGAAGAUUUUUUUUGCCCAAUAGCCCAACACAUUGGUCAGAUGUGAAAUGGCUGAGGCAGCAGGUAAACUCAGGCUGUCACGUAUUGAUGCAUUAAUGGAUUGUUUUGUUCAUUACACCUAGAGGUGUUGGUAUUAUAUGUGUGCGUAAACGCUGGCAGCUACCAACCCAGGAGACCAUUAGUCCACCAUGUCGGAAUUCGACUGGCGUAUCGACAGUCCGGGGCAAUCAAUAGUCACAGAUCUCUCAUUACCUAAGUGCCAUCUGCGAUAAUGGGCUGACAGUUAGUCAGGACUGUGUAAUACCACUUCACUUGCAGUAUGUAAAAUAAAGUCAAAAUAGGUCCAUCCAUCACUUUUUCUAUCGUGCUUGUCCUCAUUAGGGUCACAGCUUAGUUGGGAGGGGAAGUGGUUUUGGGCUGCAAAAGGGGGGACAUGUGUGAGUCAACCAGAUGGAUGGGUAUGCGUAAUGAACAUUUUAUUACAUUAAGGUCAUAUACACAGAGUUGUGUUCCCUCUCCAAUAUUCGCUCGAUUCAAGUAUCUCGUCCCAAAAGAUGGAAAACCGCUGUCUAAUGUUUUCCAAUAUGCAAUACAGCCAACAGGGUGGGGUCCAGGACACAUUGCGCAGUGCAAUCAUUGGGCCGGAUUCUCAUGUGAUGUCAUCAAUAGCGUAACUAGUCAGGGAACAUCCAGAUGUUUUGUUUUUUUUUAACAUGUGGAGUGUACCAAGUAAUGUGCCACCAAGUAAAACAUAUGACCAAAAGCUACUGGCGUCAGUACCCACUCUUGCAAAACCCUAACCUCAUAAUUUGACAGUGUUUUAAUGGCACAAAAGGACGCCCUGCAUCCCAACCUCAGCACAACAGCAGCGACACUGACCAAUCACAA